GUUUCAUCAUCUGAGCUAUCAGUUGUGUUUCUUUGAGGCAAAGAUGUAUAGAAUAGCACUGAAAGUCGGAGGUGUCAUAUUUGUUCAACCUGGUGUUAAACGUAAUUUCAAUUCUUGACCAGUGCAUGUAAAGAAAUUGAAAAUAAAACCGACUCGACUUGACUUGUCAUUGGGUCUGAUUUUAAAUGUGCCAUAUAGUUCAAUGUGGGAGCAGGUUCACACACUAAAUAAGACACUAAGGUCAAGCACAAGCAGAUUUUUUUUUUAAAACAAUUCUCAGAGCAGAUUAGAGCAGACGUUUCAGGUUGCUGCCAUCAGAGAGUAGUGACUUGACCUUAGUGUCUUAAGUGUGCUCCCACAUUGAAGUCUACUUUUUGGGUCCAUGCACCUACUUAUUUCUAAACAUCUAGAGCGCAACAAUACCCCUGCCUCCUGAUGUGCCAUACAACCUGUAUCUCUCCAAGUGUGUGUGUGUGUGUGUGUGUGUGUGUGUGUGUGUGUGUGUGAGAGAGAGAGAAUGUGUGCACGCAGAUAUAAGAAGUUGGGGUUGAUGAUCCACAUGAUGGUGAUGGACCAGGACAGCUCUGGACCUCCUGACUGGCAGCUCCAUCCUCAACCUCUCUUCCUGCCCUUCACACAUGUGCAGGCAGACAGUUUUCUGAAAGAUGGUUGAUGUCAGUACCAACAUGUUGUGAUGGAGGCUUCCACCUGAGCUGAACACAGAAACUUGCACACAGUGAUGGAAGCAGUCGUUCCUGUUCAGCAUCGAUAUGCCAGUAAUGGGUUUGAUGAGCCACAGUAUGGUGAUGGGCAAUCAGCAUCAGGACCAGGGCAGCUCACAAGGAGAACCUCCUGCCCUGCCUCGUCAUCCUCAACCUCCCAUCUCCCUGCUCUUCACACAUGUGCAGGCACGGAGCCAGUUUUCAGAGGGAGGGCUGAUGACACCAGCAACUUUGGUUCUGAACCUGAUCAACCCAGCACCAACCACUGUGCCGCUCCUCCUCUGCCAACUGCACCACAUGGCUCCACCAUCUCAAAAAGGCACAGACACUACUCCACUUCCUGCGAAGGAUGAGAGAAGAGCUGACCGCCCCACAUCGGCACUCACCACCUUCUGCAGGGGUGUCAUUGAGAGCAUCCUGACCAGCAGCCUCUCUGUCUGGCAUGGCAGCCGUCAAGCUGAAGACUAGAAGGCAGUACAGAGAGUGGUGAGGACAGCAGAAAAGCUCAUAAGAUCACCCCUACCAGCCAUUCAGGAUCUGUACACUUCACACUGUUCCAAGAGGGUAAUGAACAUC